AGCCUGCAGGGGGAAAAAGCAAGGUGACCGAGCUGCACGUCAGCAUGCCCCUCCGCAUAGGUCACCAGGAGAUCUCAAAGGGUCAGAGGCCAGAGCCCUCAAGUCCCAGGCCUUGCCCUCUAAUAGGGAAGAGAGGACUUCCUCCUAUCCCAAGUUCAUCACCUAGACACCUGAGGCAAGGAUGUGCCAUUUAAUACAAUGAAGAACAUCUGAGCCUGGCCUAUUUGGCUCAGUCAACAGAGCGUCGGCCCUCGAACUGAAGGGUCCCAGGUUCAAUUCCAUUCAAGGACACAAACCUUAAUUAUAGUUUAGAUCCCGUGCCCUGGUCAGAGCAGGUGCAGGAGACACCCAAUCAAUGUGUUUCACAUCAGUAUUUGUCUCUCCCCCUCCUUUCCUCUCUCGCUAAAAAUUAGUGAAAAAACAUCAAGAUGUUUAACAAAAACGAAGUACCCUAAAACUUAGGAAAAGGACCUAUCAAUAUGGCUCCCCUGUACCACUGAGCUUCAUCACAAUCAUGCUUCCAAGUCAUGAAGACACACGCUGUCCCCUCCCACAACCCCAAAUCUUACAUUCUCCUUUGCUUUCUACUCAUCCUGCAAGACUCGGCUCAAAUCCCACCACCUCUGCCUCCUCUUCACCCAUUUAUCUCCUCUUCAUCUAUCAUGCCGUGCUGAUACUGGGAUGGAGGUCUAACCUUUCAGUCACAAAGAAUUUAUCAUACUAUUGAGUGAUACUAGUUUUCAGGACUCUGGUAUGUCAUGCAAUUUUUAAGGACAAAGGCAGGUAUUUGGUGGUUAUAUUAUUUCAGACACAGAUCAGUUCUCUUCACACUUUUUUACUUUGUCUCAGUCUCUCUCCACUUCCCCUUCCAUGCCCUCCCAGCCCUCCCCUACCAAAACUGACACCUCUGCCAUAAGUUCUCCCAGCAGCUAGUUCCCACUUAGCUCCUGCAUCUACACAGCAGUAUUCCGGCUGGAGAAAAAGGCUCAGCAUGGACCUCAUGGGAGAUGUCCUCUAGGGGAAAGGGAGGAAUUACAACAUGAGUGAGACUUUCUAUCCCAGUUUAGCAGGAAAAGAAAUCAAAAUUUCUACUAACGGAGCCAGCCUCCAGCCAGACUGAGAGAGCUGCCCAGAGACGGUGAUCCUGGAAGCACCCACCACUCAGCAGAGCAGCGUGGCACUAAAGCCCACUGGACCAUCACAUCAGAGAAGAUAGAAGCUCCUGACGCCCAGGAGACGGGGCUGAGGUUAAAGGAGGCAGCAGUCAGACUGUCAGUGGUCACAGUGACACAUAUAUCUGCUUAUAAACGUAUUUGAAAGCUUUUAAAUGUUUACUUUAUCCAGUUUUUAAAAGGUGACAAAUUCUGAACAUUUAUAAAAUGCUGGUAUUAGUGGUGGCCUUAUCAUUUUGUCUUGGCAUUGUUAUCGCUUAUUGUGUGAGAGUAUUAGUCCUGCCUCUCCAAGACUGGAAGCUCCUCAGCAGUGACCGGCUGGCAGACGCUCAGUAGUAAGGGUUUGCUGAAUGAAAAAGAAUGAUGUAAGGAUGUUAGAUAAGCUAUGAGCGAACUUGGCAGUAAAGGAAUGUUAGGGUUUAGAGAUGUGACGGGUAUAGUUAGAAGAACAAGAGAAGACAAAGCUUCAAGAGUAGAUGGUCAAGUGUCAAAUGCUGAGAAAUGUUGAGCAGAGCCCACACACUUCUCAAACAAGUUCCUUCAGAAAAUGUAGGUGACACUCAAGUUCCUUCAGAAAAUGUAGGUGAAAGAAUACAAAGGCCCCAGAUCUUGCCAGGCCUGGUUCUGGUGACUCAGAAUGGCAGUGGGGAGGCCUAAUGGCUAA